GUCUACGGCCAUACCACCCUGAACGCGCCCGAUGUCGUCUGAUCUCGGAAGCUAAGCAGGGUCGGGCCUGGUUAGUACUUGGAUGGGAGAGAGAGAAAGGGAGGGUGUGCACG
rnacentral:rRNA from 1 species